UACGGAGGGUGCAAGCGUUAUCCGGAUUCACUGGGCUUAAAGGGUGCGUAGGUGGGUUUGUAAGUCAGAGGUGAAAUCUCCAAGCUUAACUUGGAAACUGCCGUUGAUACUAUAAAUCUUGAAUGUUGUGGAGGUGAGCGGAAUAUGUCAUGUAGCGGUGAAAUGCUUAGAUAUGACAUAGAACACCAAUUGCGAAGGCAGCUCACUACACAAAGAUUGACACUGAGGCACGAAAGCGUGGGGAGCAAACAGG
rnacentral:rRNA from 1 species